GGCAGAUGAUGUCUGUUUUCACGAUGGUCUUCAGAUGCCCACCACGGGCACUGCUGAGGAAGCCACUUGGUAAAACUGAUGCCAGCAA
ensembl:snoRNA SNORD35B small nucleolar RNA, C/D box 35B